GCAAUUUCUGCAUAAGUCUCAAUCUACCAUUGUACUUGGUAUUAUCAAUGAGCAUAUCAACUUUCAAGUUUCUCCUGGACAGCCCAACUCAAUUUCUGAUGAUGCGGAGGCUAUUACAUUGACUAGAAGCAGCCAGGAUGCAGUUAGUCAGAUUAAUCAGAAGGAAAUACAUUGGGGGUUGCUGGAAGACUCUUUGGAAGAACGCUUGGAAAAGACUAGGGGUUUGCUUUCUGAUUCUGAAAAGGCAGAAGGAGAAACUAAAGAGUCGGAGUGGGAGGAAAAUAAGAAAAGAUCAGCAGAAGGAGGAAAGCAGGGCUCAUCAGUUAAAAAGCUGAAAAAAAGACAAGGCAACAGGAGCAACAGGGAAAGCCACUCAUCCUGAGACAAACAUUGUAACUAUGGCACCAAGAGUCAAACCAGAGCUUCCUUU